CAACCAAGGGUGGUCCCAAAAACAGGGCCUGGAGUUUUCUUCUAAGCAGCAGAGAUGGAAACAAACCAUUAAGGAAUUAUAGCUAAGAAUGGGAUCGGUGUGGACUUUGCUGCUGUUGCUCAUCUGCUUCAAAGUUGGAGGCAUAUUAUGCAUCCAGAGAUGCUCUUCUGUAGACCUCAGUUGUAACCAGUAGUUUUUUUUAGUACUGCAACCUUUGCCUUUCUAUCGGUUUUGCCCACAUAUCUUUACUAGUCUCUGUAAAUUCACAGCAGACUCAACAUUUGUGAAAUACUCAGAAGUUAGAACAGCCCGUCCGGUACCAACAACCAGGCAACAUUUAUUAUUAAAUGUUUAUAUUAAAUUAUUAAAUUAAAUGUAUAUAAAAUGACUUAUUGCCGAUCUGAUAUUUAUUUUGAACUUUAGCAGAACAUCCAUCUCUGUGCAUAAAUGCAUUUUUUGCUGCUAUGUGAUUUGCAUGAACAAUUGUUAGCAAUCACGAAUACCUAAUAAAAUGGCCAGUGACUGUAA